UUUUGGAACUUGUAUAAGCUUGGUUUUCAAGAUUUCUUCAAGAUUGAGAUUUGAGCUUGGAUUGAAGUGUGGAGAUAGGAGGAGAAGGGAUUGAGCAAGGGUUUGAAGAAUUGACUAAGGUUAUUUGAACUUGGAGAAGUGGUUGCUAGAGUUGUGGUGAGGUUUUUGCUCAAACGAGGUGAUAUAGGUACUAGCGCUAGUGCUCCGACUACGGAUCAGCAGGGAGAAGCGUGACGCUGAUGGCCUGGACUUGUGAGGGUUUGUUGUUUUAUUUUUUGUGGUGUUUGGUUAGUCUUUGGCUUAAUUGUAU